AGUUUGAUCCUGGCUCAGAACGAACGCUGGCGGCAGGCUUAACACAUGCAAGUCGAACGCCCCGCAAGGGGAGUGGCAGACGGGUGAGUAACGCGUGGGAACAUACCCUUUUCUACGGAAUAGCUCUGGGAAACUGGAAUUAAUACCGUAUACGCCCUACGGGGGAAAGAUUUAUCGGGGAAGGAUUGGCCCGCGUUGGAUUAGCUAGUUGGUGGGGUAAAGGCCUACCAAGGCGACGAUCCAUAGCUGGUCUGAGAGGAUGAUCAGCCACACUGGGACUGAGACACGGCCCAGACUCCUACGGGAGGCAGCAGUGGGGAAUAUUGGACAAUGGGCGCAAGCCUGAUCCAGCCAUGCCGCGUGAGUGAUGAAGGCCUUAGGGUUGUAAAGCUCUUUUGUCCGGGACGAUAAUGACGGUACCGGAAGAAUAAGCCCCGGCUAACUUCGUGCCAGCAGCCGCGGUAA
rnacentral:rRNA from 1 species